rnacentral:rRNA from 1 species
UCUCAGUUCGGACUGGAGUCUGCAACCCGACUCCACGAAGCUGGAUUCGCUAGUAAUCGCGCAUCAGCCACGGCGCGGUGAAUACGUUCCCGGGCCUUGUACACACCGCCCGUCAAGCCAUGGGAGCCGGGGUACCUGAAGUGCGUAACCGCGAGGAGCGCCCUAGGGUAAAACUGGUGACUGGGGCUAAGUCGUAACAAGGUAGC